rnacentral:lncRNA from 1 species
AGAGGGCUAAGAUAGUAGGGGACGAGUUCAGGCAGAAAAAGAAUGAUGCUAAUUAGUCAUCCCUCCCGCAGAAACAGAAGGGACCUGCUCCACCAUCUGCUAGUACACCUGCACCUAAGAACAAGAGUGAGUACUAUGGUCAAAGUUCCAGAGUUAAACCUAGCUAUUCACAGGGUACUGUGGCGCAAAGGGGUAGUAAGCCUCCUGACAGCGCCAAAUGUGGUAGGAACCACUUAGGUAUUUGUCGUGAGGGCUCCAAUGGUUGUUUCAAGUAUGGUCAGAGUGGACAUUUCAUGCGAGAGUGUCCUAAGAACAGGCAAGGUAGUAGAAAUCUGAGCAGUACGGCCCAUUCUUCAUCAGUUGCUCCCCCAGACAGGAUGGUACCUAUAGGAGCUAUUUCUAGUAUUGUUGGAGGAGUAAACCGCCUCUAUGCAAUCAACAGUCACCAAGAGCAAGAGGAUUCGCCAGAUGUUGUCACUGGUAUGAUUGGAGUCUUUGACUUUACUGUGUAUGCUUUACUAGACCCAGGAGCAAGUUUAUCUUUUGUAACUCCUUAUGUUGCUAAGAACUUUGAUGUUAAUCCUGAGCAACCUAGUGAGCCAUUCAGUGUCUCUACACUUGUUGGUGAGUCUUUUCUAGCAGAAAGAGAGUUCAUCGUGAUUGUCCUGUUUCUAUCAAUCACAAGAGCACCAUGACUAAUUUGGUUGAGUUAGACAUCGUAGAUUUUGAUGUCAUUCUAGGUAUGGAUUGGCUUCAUACCUAUUAUGCAUCAUUAGACUGUACAACUCAAGUGGUCAAGUUUCAGUUUCCGAAUAAGCCAGUCUUAGAGUGGACUAGUAGUUUAGCAGUGCCUAAGGGUCGUUUUAUUUCGUACCUUAAGGCGAGGAAGUUAUUUUCAAAGGGUUGUAUCUAUCACCUAGUCCUAUUUAAUGACUCUAGUGUUGAGAUACCUCAUUUUCAGUCAGUUCCUAUAGUAAGAGAGUUUCCAGAAGUUUUUCAUGAUGAUCUACCCGGAAUUCCUCAUCUAUGUAUAUAUGUAAAUAUCCUAUUUUGAGACACGAGUUGCCUUUUGGCAUGUUAUGCAUAAGUUAGGUUGUUUUAUAACCUUGCAUGGUAUUGAGUUAUUUUGUUGAAUUAAGUUUCCGCUGAGUUAAGAAAACGAGGCCAAGGGUUCGCUUGGGGCCAUCAAUGGUCUCCGGUGCCGAUCCCGCCCAGGGUGUAGGCUCGGGCGUGACAAACUUCAUAUCACAGCACAGAGUUCAAGAGUACUAAGGAGUCUAUGAAGCCUUGCCUGUAGAGUCCUAGUUAUCGAUGUGAAGCGCGCCACAUCAAUAAUUAGGAGGCUGCAACAUUUAGCAACUAUCUCACUUCUAUCACACUCGUCUCGUCCGUUAGAGUUUAUCACUAAAAAGUUUCCUUCUAAUCCGUGUUUGCGCAUGUUUUUAGAGGAUUAUGCCUCCACGAAGAGCAGUCAGAGUUCGUCCAGCUAUGAGGAGUAUUGAGGAACAAGAAUUACCAAGUGCCCAAGAAGUGCAAACCCAAGAAGAGAUCAAAUAUGCUGAUUUUCGUGAAGCUAUACGGAUGUUAAGUGAAGUUGAGAACUAUCAUGUUGGGCAGAGAGAUAAUCGACACGAAGUGGUUGAUAUUUCAAGGAUCCGUGAACUCUUAAGGAUGAACCCACCAAGCUUCGCAGGUUCAAGUAUUAGUGAGAAUCCAGAGAACUUCAUUGAGGAGAUCAAAGGGUAUUUGAUGUGAUGCAUGCUGCUGAGUCGGAGAGGGUGGAACUAGCUACAAACCAAUUAAAGGGUGUUGCUAGAAUCUGGUUCGACCAAUGGAAAAAGAUUAGGGCUGAGCAUGCGCCAGCAGUGAGUUGGGUUGUAUUUGAGAGUGCUCUCAUGAGAUGUUUCUUUCCUCGUGAGUUGCUAGAGGCAAGGAUAAAAGAGUUUCUCACCCUUAAUCCAGAGUCUAUGAGUGAUCAUGAGUACAGUAUGAAGUUCACACAAAUUUCCCGCUAUGCUCCGGAGAUGGUUGCUAACAUGAGGAGCAGGAUGAGUUUAUAUGUUGUUGGGUUGUCUCGUGAAUCAAUCAAGGAAGGCAAGGCAGCUAUGCUGAUAGGGGAUAUUGACCUAGAAAGAUUUAUGAUCCAUUUACAACAAGUUGAGGAGAAUAAGUUGAAGGACAAAGAAGAGUCUAAGGAUAAGAGGGCUAAGAUAGUAGGGGACGAGUUCAGGCAGCAAAAGAAUGAUGCUAAUCAGUCAUCCCUCCCGCAGAAACAGAAGGGACCUGGUCCACCAUCUGCUAAUACAGUUGCACCUAGGAACAAGAGUGAGUACUAUGGUCAAAGUUCUAGAGUUAAACCUAGCUAUUAAACAGGGUAGUGUGGCGCAAAGGGGUAGUAAGCCUCCUGACUGCGCCAAAUGUGGUAGGAACCACUCAGGUAUUUAUCGUGAGGGUUCCAAUGGUUGUUUCAAGUGUGGUCAGAGUGGACAUUUCAUGCGAGAGUGUCCUAAGAACAGGCAAGGUAGCGGAAAUCUGAGCAGUACGGCCCAUUCUUCAUCAGUUUAUCCCCCAGACAGGAUGGUAAUUAGAGGAGCUACUUCUAGUAUUGUUGGAGUAGUAAACCGCCUCUAUGGAAUCAACAGUCGCCAAGAGCAAGAGGAAUCUCCAGAUGUUGUCACUAGUAUGAUUUGAGUCUUUGACUUUACUGUGUAUGCUUUACUAGACCCAGGAGCAAAUUUGUCUUUUGUAACUCCUUAUUUUGCUAAGAACUUUGAUGUUAUUCUUGAGAAACCUAGGGAGCCAUUCAGUGUCUCUACACCUGUUGUUGAGUCUUUUCUAGCAGAAAAAGAGUUUAUCGUGAUUGUCCUGUUUCUAUCAAUCACAAGAGCACCAUGGCUGAUUUGGCUGAGUUAGACAUCGUAGAUUUUGAUGUCAUUCUAGGUAUGGAUUGGCUUCAUACCUAUUAUGCAUCAUUAACUGUACAAUUCAAGUGGUAAAGUUUCAGUUUCCGAAUCAGCCAGCCUUAGAGUGGAGUAGUAGUUUAGCAGUGCCUAAGGGUCAUUUUAUUUUGUACCUUAAGGCGAGGAAGUUAGUUUCAAAGGAUUUUAUCUAUCACUUAGUCCGAGUUAAUGACUCUAGUGUUGAGAUACCUCAUUUUCAGUCAGUUCCUAUAGUAAGAGAGUUUCCAGAAGUUUUUCCUGAUGAUAUACCCGGAAUUCCUCUUGAGAGAGAAAUAGAUUUCGGCAUAGAUCUCAUUCCUGAUACUUGUCCUAUCUCUUUUUCUCCUUAUAGAAUGGCACCAGUAGAGUUGAAAGAGCAGUUAAAGGGAUCUAUUAGAUAAGGGUUUUAUUUGACUAGGUUGACUCGGAGAACACCGAAUGGAAAGAGAAGUUGACUAAUGCCCAGUUAUGACAAUGGUUCUUGAGUACAUACUGAGUAUCUGGACCUAAAAUGGAUUUGAGAAUAAUAGUUGAGUUUAGGCGAAUUGGGGUGUUAUGUGAUGUGCUAGAGUUGGUUGCUGUAGUUUUGGCUUUGAAGAUAUGGCGUCACUGUUGUAUGAUGUUCAUGUGGGUGUGUUCACUUAGAAUGAGCUUAAUCUCGAACAGAGAGAUAGUGGUUAUAGUUACUCAAGGGUUAUGACAUCAGUUUUCUUUAUCGACCUGGUAAGGUUAAAUGUUGUCACUGAUUCUUUAAGCAUGUUUUCUAGGGGUAGCACCACCCAUAUUUAGGAAGAACAGAGAGAAUUAGCAAGAGAUGUGCACCGAUUUGCACACCUGGAAGUUAGUCUUAUGGAUUCCACAAGGAGAAGUAGUGAUGAUGAAUGGUUCUGACCCAUCAUCAGUGCCAGAAGUAAAAGGUGAAAAAGACCCAGACCCUAUCUUGUUUGAAUUAUAGGAAAAAUGUUCAUAAGUAGUGAUGGCUUCUGAACAAGGGGGAGAUGGUGUUCCGAGGUAUCAAGGAGGAUUGUGGGAUUGAUUUCAAGGAUAAUUGAGAUGAUUACCUAUCUUACAUGGAGUUGCUUACAACAAUAGUUACCAUUCUAGCAUCCAAAUGGCUCCUUAUGAAAUUCUUUAUAGGAGCAGAUGUAGAUCUCUUUUUGGAUGGUUUGAAGUUAGUGAAGCAGGGUUGAUAGAUCCAGAGUUAGUUCAUCAAGCUUUGGAGAUGGUGAAAAUGAUUUAAGAAAGGUUGAAAAUGGCACAGAGUCAUAAACAAUCAUACACUGAUGUUAGGAGAAGGGCGUAAGAGCUGGAAGUAGAGGAUUGAGUAUGUUUGAAAGUUUCAACCAGGAAAAGAGUCAUGAGGAGAUUCCGGUUCAGAUUUGGAUCACCAAGUUCGCAGGUUGAGAAAUAAAGAGGUAGCCUUAGUGAAGGUCCUUUGGAGGAACCAAUUUGUUGAGGAAGCUACUUGGGAAGCCGAAGAGGACAUGAAGAAGAGAUAUCCAUAUCUCUUUGAAUCUGGAGGAAAUGCAAAUCGAGGUACUAAAUUCCUUCUUAGUGCUCUUUAAAUUGUAGUGAAGACAAUAUAUUGCAUGUGUCUUAUUGCUUUAUAUAUUAAAUUCAGUUAUUCAUGAGUCGAACAGAGCCAACGUAAGUGUUCUCUAGUACUCUUUUCAAGUUUAAGUUGUGGUUUAGCUUUCCAGCUCGCAUACUCGUACAUUCAAUGUACUGAUGUCGGUUGGCCUGCAUCUUAUGACGAUGUAGACGCAGGUACCCAGGGUCAGCACCCAGCACGCCGUUGAUCCAGUUGAGCACUCCAGAGGCAGUGGUGAGCAUCCUUGCUUUCCGGGGCUCUCAGUUGUUUUCUUUUCUUAGUUUUGUUUUAUUAGGAUGUUGCGGGGUCUGUCCCAACAUCCAUCUCAGUAUGGUAGAGGCUUCAUACAUAGUCAGUCAGUUAGUAUUGAGUGUCUCAUCUAUGUAUAUAUGUAAGUAUCCUAUUUUGAGACACGAGUUGCCUUUUGACAUGUUAUGCAUUAGUUAAGUUGUUUUAUAACGUUGCAUGGUAUUGAGUUAUUCUGUUGAGUUAGGUUUCCGCAGAGUUAUGAAAGCCAAGCCAAGGGUUCGCUUGGGGCCAGCAAUGGUCUCUGGUGCCGAUCCCGCCCAGGGUGUAGGCUCGGGGAGUGACAAACUAUGUAUCACAGCACAGAGUUCAAGAGUCCUAGGGAGUCUAUGAAGCCUUGUCUGUAGAGUCCUACUUAUCGAUGUGAAGUGCGCCACAUCUAUAAUUAGGAAGCUGUAACAUUUAGGAACUAUCUCACUUCUUUCACACUCAUCUCGUGCGUUAGAGUUUAUCUCUGAAACGUUUCCUUCUAAUCCGUGCUUGCGCAUGUUUUCAGAGGAUUAUGCCUCCACGAAGAACAGUCAGAGUUCGUCCAGCUAUGAGGAGUAUUGAGGAACAAGAGUUACCAAGUGCCCAAGAAGUGCAAACCCAACAAGAGAUCAAAUAUGCUGAUUUUCAUGAAGCUAUGCGGAUGUUAAGUCAAGUUGCAAACUAUCAUGUUGGGCAGAGAUAUAAUUGACAUGAAGUGGUUGAUAUAUCAAGGAUCCGUGAACUCUUGAGGAUGAACCCACCAAGCUUCACAGGUUCAAGUAUUACUGAGAAUCCAGAGAACUUCAUUGAGGAGCUCAAAAGGGUAUUUGAUGUGAUGCAUGCUGCUAAGUCGGAGAGGGUGGAACUAGCUGCAUACCAAUUAAAGGGUGUUGCCAGAAUAUGGUUCGACCAAUGGAAGAAGAUUAGGGCUGAGGAUGUGCCAGUAGUGAGUUGGGUUGUGUUUGAGAGUGCUCUCAUGGGACGUUUCUUUCCUCGUGAGUUGCGAGAGGCAAGGCUAAUAGAGUUUCUCACCUUUAAUCCAGAGUCUAUGAGUAUUCAUUAGUACAGUCUCAAGUUCACACAACUUUCCCGCUAUGCUCCAGAGAUGGUUGCUGACAUGAGGAGCAGGAUGAGUUUAUAUGUUGUUGGGUUGUCUCGUCAAUCAAGCAUGGAAGGCAGGGCAGCUACUCUGAUAGGGGAUAUUGACCUAGCCAGAUUUAUGAACCAUUUACAACAUGUUGAGGAGAAUAAGUUGAAGGACAGAAAAGAGUCUAAGGAUAAGAGGGCGAAGAUAGUAGGGGACGAGUUCAGGCAACAAAAGAAUGAUGCUAAUCAGUCAUCCCUCCCGCAGAAAAAGAAGGGACCUGCUCCACCAUUUGCUAGUACACCUGCACCUAAGUACAAGAGUGAGUAUUGUGGUCAAAGUUCCAGAGUUAAACCUAGCUAUUCACAGGGUAGUGUGGCACAAAGGAGUAGUAAGCCUCCUGACUACGCCAAGUGUGGUAGGAACCACUCAGGUAUUUAUCGUGAAGGCUCCAAUGGUUGUUUCAAGUGGGGUCAGAGUGGACAUUUCAUGCGAGAGUGUCCUAAGAACAGGAAAGGUAGUGGAAAUCUGAGCAGUACGACCCAUUCUUCAUCAGUUGCUCCCCCAAACAGGAUGGUACCUAGAGGAGCUACUUCUAGUAUUGGUGAAGGAGUAAACUACCUCUAUGCAAUCAACAGUCGCCAAGAGCAAGAGGAUUCGCCAGAUGUUGUCACUGGUAUGAUUCGAGUCUUUGACUUUACUGUGUAUGCUUUACUAGACCCAAGAGCAAGUUUAUCUUUUGUAACUCCUUAUGUUGCUAAGAAAUUUGAUGUUAUUCCUGAGCAACCUAGUGAGCCAUUAAGUGUCUCUACACAUGUUGGUGAGUCUUUUCUAGCAGAAAGAGAGUUUAUCGUGAUUGUCUUGUUUCUAUCAAUCAUAAGAGUACCAUGGCUGAUUUGGUUGAGUUAGACAUCAUAGAUUUUGCUGUCAUUCUAGGUAUGGACUAGCUUUAUACCUGUUAUGCAUCAUUAGACUGUACAACUCAAGUGGUCAAGUUUCAGAUUCCGAUUGAGCCAGUCUUACAGUGGAUUAGUAGUUCAGCAGUGCCGAAGGGUCAUUUUAUUUCGUACCUUAAGGCGAGGAAUUUAGUUUCAAAGGGUUGUAUCUAUCACUUAGUAAGAGAAUUUCCAGAAGUUUUUCUUGAUGAUCUACCCAGAAUUCCUCUUGAGAGAGAAAUAGAUUUCGGCAUAGAUCUCAUUCCAGAUACUUGUCCUAUCUCUUUUUCUCCUUAUAGAAUGGCACUAGCAGAGUUGAAAUAGCAGUUAAAGGGAUAUAUUAGAUAAGGGUUUUAUUUGACUAGGUUGACUCGGAGAACACCGAAAUUUCAACGGUUUGAAGCUUGUGAGGAAAACUUUCAAGAAUGGAAAGAGAAGUUGAAUACUGCCUAGUUAUCACAUUGGUUCUUGAGUACAUACUGAGUAUCUGAACCUAAAAUGGAUUUGAGAAUAAUAGUUGAGUUUAGGCGAAUCGGGGUGUAAUGUGAUGAGCUAGAGUUGGCUGUUGUAGUGUUGGCUUUGAAGAUAUGGCAUCACUGUUGUAUGAUGUUCAUGUGGGUGUGUUCACUUAGAAUGAGCUUAAUCUCAAACAGAGAGAAAGAGUGGUUAUAGUUACUCAAGGGUUAUGACAUGAGUUCACUUUAUUACCCUGGUAAGGUUAAAUGUAGUUACUGAUUCUUUAAGCAAGUUUUCUAGGGGUAGCACCACCCAUAUUGAGGAAGAACAAAGAGAAUUAGCAAGAGAUGUGCACCAAUUUGCACGCCUAGAAGUUAAUCUUAUGGAUUCCACAAAGAGGAAUAGUGAUGAUGAAUGGGUCUGACCCAUCAUCAGUGCCAGAAGUAAAAGGUGAAAAAGACCCAGACCCAAUCUUGUUUGAAUUACAGGAAAAAUGUUCAUAAGUAGUGAUCGCUUUUGAACAAGGGGGAUAUGGUGUUCCGAGGUAUCAAUGCGGACUGUGGGAUUGAUUUCAAGGAUAAUUGAGAUGAUUACCUAUCUUACAUGGAGUUGCUUACAACAAUAGUUACCAUUCUAGCAGCCAAAUGGCUCCUUAUAAAACUCUUUAUGGGAGUAGAUGUAGAUCUCUUUUUGGAUGGUUUGAAGUUAGUGAAGCAGGGUUGAUAGAUCCAGAGUUAGUUCAUCAAGCUUUGGAGAAGGUGAAAAUGAUUUAAGAAAGGUUGAAAAUGGCACAAAGUCAUAAAAAAUCAUACACUGAUGUUAGGAGAAGGGCGUUAGGGUUGGAAGUAGAGGAUUGAGUAUGUUUGAAAGUUUCAACCAGGAAAGAUUCAUGAGGAGAUUCCGGUUCAGAUUUGGAUCGCCAAGUUCGCAGGUUGAGAAAGAAAGAGGUAGCCUUAGUCAAUGUCCUUUGGAGGAACCAAUUUAUUGAGGAAGAUACUUGGGAAGCCGAAGAGGACAUGAAGAAGAGAUAUCCAUAUAUCUUUGAAUCCGGAGGAAAUGCCGAUCAAGGUACUAAAUUGUAGUGAGCAUGUAGUCGUUGUUGUUGUUGCAUGAUUUCUUGUUGGGUGUUUGAAGUGAUGUUACACCCUUAGCCUUGUAAGAGUAACUUCAUUCGAGGACGAAUAUUCUGAAGUGGGGGAUAUUGUGUUAUCUUGCAAGUUGAUAGCUAGGAAGAAGCUUAAAAAUUUGAAUUAGUUAUUUUUGGAAAGAAUUUGGAAAUCUGGAAAUUUGGUUAAGUGUGGGAAAUCAGUGAGUUUUGGCCAACUUUGAUCAGUCAUAACUUCUAUCUCAGGAUGAUUUAGGUGUAGUUCCAGUUAUGGUUGCAAAGUUCGUGGAAUGAUCUUUCCAACGCCACCGAGUUUGUUUGAUUCCGAGUUCGUAUGAGGGAGUUAUGCCCUUUGGAAGUUGGGCAGUUGGCAAGGAAAUCCGUCUGGAAAUUUUAAGGGCACUUUGGUCUUUUCCCUAAUCAAUUCUUUUGGGUUAUAUUGAGUUGUUGGGCUGGGUUUUUUUUUAUCAGUUCUUUCCCAUUUUUAAAGAGUGAGAGUUAGGGCUUGGGAGAUAAGAGAGAAAGAAGAGAAGAAGAAGAGGAAAAAGAGAAGAGCAAGCAAGGAGAUCAAGCAAGUUCCGUUGUGGAUAUCGUCGGGGGUGAUCCGUACUAGGUAUGUGAGUCCAUAUGGUUGGGUUGGUUCUUUCCCACACCCUCCAAACUCGUUUUAUUGUCAAGAAAGGAUUUGGUUGGGUUUUUGAGUAGCUAUCUCUUGUAAGUUGAGGGAUUUUAUGAUCCUUAGUGGUUGGGGUUGAAACCAUUGAAGUUUAGAAGGUUUAGAGCAGGAGAAAAUGGGAGAAAAAGUCGAGUUUUUGGGGCAAUGGGUUGGCGCAUCGUGCCUGCCAGCGCCCCCCCAAAAGGGUUUCUGAAGUUUCCCCCUUGCGGUGGCGCGCCUUGCAGAGCGCCUCGGCUGGCCCUCUGAAGUAUUAGGGCUGGCGCUCCGCACCUUACAGAGCGCCAAGGACGCCAAGUUUCCCCUUUGUUUUCAUACUUUCUCAUGCAUGUUCCUUCUAAUCCGUGCUUGCGCAUGUUUUCAGAGGAUUAUGCCUCCACGAAGAGCAGGCAGAGUUCAUCCAGCUAUGAGGAGUAUUGAGGAACAAAAGUUACCAAUUGCCCAAGAAGUGCAAACCCAAGAAGAGAUCAAAUAUGCUGAUUUUUGUGAAGAAAUGCGGAUGUUAAGUGAAGUUGCAAACUAUCAUGUUGGGCAGAGAGAUAAUCGACACGAAGUGGUUGAUGUUUCAAGGUUCCGUGAACUCUGAAGGUUGAACCCACCAAGCUUCACAGGUUCAAGUAUUAGUGAGAAUCCAGAGAACUUCAUUGAGGAGCUCAAAGGGGUAUUUGAUGUGAUGCAUGCUGCUGAGUCGGAGAGGGUGGAACUAGCUGCAUACAAUUAAAGAGUGUUUCUAAAAUCUGGUUCGACCAAUGGAAAAAGAUUAAGGCUGAGGAUGCACCAGCAGUGAGUUGGGUUGUCUUUGAGAGUGCUCUCAUGAGACGUUUCUUUCCUCCUGAGUUGCGAGAGGAAAGGAUAAAAGAGUUUCUCACCCUUAAUCCAGACUCUAUAAGUGUUCAUGAGUACAGUUUGAAGUUCACACAACUUUCCCGCUAUGCUCCGUAUAUGGUUGCUGACAUUAGGAGCAGGAUGAGUUUAUAUGUUGCUGGGUUUUCACGUCAAUCAAGCAAGGAAGGCAAGGCAGCUAUGCUGAUAGGGGAUAUUGACCUAGCAAGAUUUAUGAUCCAUUUACAACAAGUUGAGGAGAAUAAGUUGAAGGACAGAGAAGAGUCUAAGGAUAAGAGGGCUAAGAUAGUAGGGGACGAGUUCAGGCAGCAAAAGAAUGAUGCUUAUCAGUCACCGCUCCCGCAGAAACAGAAGGGACCUGCUCCACCAUCUGCUAGUACACCUGCACCUAAGAACAAGAGUGAGUACUAUGAUCAAAGUUCCAGAGUUAAACCUAGCUAUUCACAGGGUAGUGUGGCGCAAAGGGGUAGUAAGCCUCCUGACUGCGCCAAGUGUAGUAGGAACCACUCAGGUAUUUGUCGUGAG